ACCCUGAAAGCAUCGAAUUGCAAGGAGGGGGAGGACAGGAAAGAAAACAGACAAAAGCCGACCACAUCCCAGCCUCUGAAGACCAGCAACUCCCCAACUACAGAGCUUAACUAAGAACAUGAACUUGCCUGUGACCCAGCUUUGACUGCGCAAGCAAGAAGAUGCCCUAGAAGAUGACAGAGGAAGAUGCAAGGAACCUGGAUGCCUGAUCAGUGACCUCAUGGAACAAAGUCUCCUGCAAACCUGGAAUGAGCACCUCAGGUCCCAUCAUUUUUCAGGUCACCGCCCUAUAUCACUGCAGAGCCUCGAUUUCCAAACAGCUGAGAGCCGGGCCGUCCGCCUGCGGUUGUUCCCUUCAGUCUUCCAGACGCACAGUGCAGACUCCGACUGCGCAGGCGCAGUUGGGAAGUCCUCGCUAGCCACGCCCUUUUCUUAAAGGUGCCCUGAGUCUCCCACGUAGUGCAGGGGGCCCGCCUUAGCUAGGAGG